rnacentral:lncRNA from 1 species
UUUGAUACUAAUCCCAAUGUACUGCUAUAUUCGUUCAUCCUGAGACUAGAGAGGGUUUGCAUACAUAAGUGCCUGCUUGGUUUAGGACCUAGAAGCUCAUAGAUAACUGCACCAAAUGGAUGAAUUUUAGGGGAUAUUAUUGUAUGAGGGGUCAUGCCCCUUGCUUCUCAAACCAUGAUGUAUGGGCUAACGCUUACUUAGCCUUCUCAUAAAGUCAUUCUGCAUUAGAGUUUAGAGACUAAAGAUACUAGAAUACCCAUUCUUCAAACAACUUUUACAUUUACAUAAUUGUUCUCUAACUUUUUUUUUUUUUUUGAGAUGGAGUUUCGCUGUUGUUACCCAGACUGGAGUGCAAUAGCAUGAUCUUGGCUCACUGCAACCUCCGCCUCCUGGGUUAAAGCAAUUCUCCUGCCUCAGCCUCCCGAGUAGCUGGGACUACAGGCGCGCACCACCAUGCCCAGCUAAUUUUUGGAUUUUUAGUAGAGACGGGGUUUCAUCUUGUUGACCAGGAUGGUCUUGAUCUCUUGACCUCGUGAUCCACCCGCCUCGGCCUCCCAAAGUGCUGGGAUUAUAGGCAUCAGCCACCGCGCCCGGCCAAUGCAGGGAUUUUUUUUCAGAGCUUUUCCAUUUCCCCAAAUGCCUAACUGAAUUUUUUACCCAGAUUAUUCUAAAUGACAGAGCUGUUGUUUUUUUUCUUUCUUUUUUUUUCAGUGAUGCUUCAUAAAGCUGUAGGGGAUCCACUGAGUUACUGCAGGAGGAUUGGAGAGGGAAGAGAUCUUUGAUUUUACAUAUUUUGCUUUUGUUUAAUUUUUCCCUUGAAGAAAGAAUUGUCCUAAAAAUUUCUGAAAACUAUAAGUGGAUUUUGUUUAUGAUGAUCAAGCCGAUACUUGAAAACAAUUGAAUGUAGGACACUUUUCAUUGAAGGCCCAUAUAUAUGUGUGUGUGUGUGUGUGUGUGUGUGUGUGUGUGUGUGUGUGUGUAGAUAUAAUUUUUUUUUUAGAUAAUUAUUAUUAUUAUUUUUUGACAGAGUCUUAUCUGUCACUCAGGCUGGAGUGCAGUGGUAUGAUCUUAGUUCACUGCAACCUCCGCCUCCUGGGUUCAAGUGAUUCUCCUGCCUCAGCCUCUCCAGUAGCUGGGAUUACAGGUUGGCACUUACGAUUGUGGAUUUAUAACACAGGAUAUUUUAAAUAAUACAAAUGAACAGCCAGAUGGAGAGGCACAUCAGACAAGGUCUGGAAGGAUUUCAAGCACAGGAGCUUCUGUCCCCGUGAAGUUGUGGUAAGUCAUCCUCCUCACAUGGGAAUGUGUUCAUCCAACUGGAAGCUCUUCAAAUCCCUUACUUUUGGAAUUUUUGUGGAGGCUUCAUCAUGUAGGCAUGACUAUUAACUACAUAUCUAGCCCUUUUCCCUUCUCCAGAGAAUAGAAGAUGGGGCUAAAAGUUGUAAGCUUUUAAUCAUAGUUUGGUCUUUCUGGUGAUCAGCCCCAUCCAGGAGAUGACCAAGAGAUGCCCCAGUAAAAUGAAAGACACUCCUAUGGCCUAGGAAAUUCCAAAGCGUUUAAGAGCUCUGUGUCAGAUACUCGGAUCACUAAGGAAAUUUCAACAGUGUUAGGAGUGCUAUGUCAGAAGCUACAUCAAAGUUUAUUAGAACAAAAGAUUCUCCUAGAACCCCUAUUUACAGGGUUUCUAGGAGCUCUGUGUUAGGAACCAGGGACAGAGACCAAUGCCUAUAUUUCCUAUUAUUUCAGUGUUAACCCCUGGUCUCUGGUCACAGACCCCGCACCACAAAAUGAUCAUAUCUACCAGAACAUUUACAUUUAAUGUGGCAUUUAUAGAACAGAUAGAGCAGUAGUACCAAUACAAGUAUGCCUAACAUUUGGAAGCCAGUAUGGAGAAAAGAUAGAUUUAAAUACACAAUUAAAUUGUCUCAAA